rnacentral:rRNA from 1 species
UACAGCCAUAUCACACUGAAACACUGGUUCCUGUACAAUCAUCAAAGUUAAGCAAUGUUCAGCCUGAUCAGUACCUCGAUGGGUGACCAUUUGGGAAUACCA